CAAAGACUGAACAGGAGGAAUAUAAGUCCUGGGACAGGGUACAUGUGGCCUGAUGUCCACAGACUGGCUGCCUAGAAGCCUGUGAAGCUUCUGGGCCCACAGGUGGCCAGCACUCAGAUGAGGUUCUCUUUGGAGACAGAGCCCUGGAUCAGUCCUGACAAGUCUGGAAUUCACUUUGGCUAGCUUUCUGGCCUAGCAGCCAUCUCUCCAAAAUGCAAACAUCGAGGUGCCCAGGCUCCUGGUCCCAGUGGGAGAGCAGGAGGCUGACUUGGGUGGGAACCUGGCUCCAAGUUGCACCAUUCCCUCUGAUCAUAAAGAGAUGAGAAGUUUCUCUUCUGGAUGAAGCCAACCGGCUGAUACAGAUGGUGACCCCAGUGACCAGGGAGGUCUUCCAGGGUCAGAACCCCCCUGAACUGUACUGCCAGGAAUCAGAGCCUGUGCUCGGAAAAACUGGAAAAGACCUGGCCUGUCCACCCUUGGCCCAGGGCCUCACAGCUAUGACCCAUCCUGGAAUAGCAAAGCAGCCCUCCCUGUCCAGCCUGACCUGCAGGUGCUGGCUCUGAUCCUCUUCAAGGGGGAAGGUCUGAGCCUCAUUAAAUACGGGUAGCUGAGGACUCAGUUCCAGGUCAGUGGUUGGGCUUGGGGGGGGUGGGUAAGUCGUGUCCCUGAUCCCUGGAAAGAGGUUCUUUGAGGCCAAGGUCUCUGGUUUGGGACCACACCUGAUAUUGCUGGGUUUUUUGCAGCCCAGGCAGGCUGGGGAUAGGGUGCCUCCUGGGAGUGGGGGUGGGGGAGGUAUGGCAGGGAAUGGAAGUUUGUCCUGAGACUGACUUAGCUCUGGCAUGUCCCGUCCUCUUCUGCCUCUCACAGCCUCACGCAAAAGUAGUCAGUGAUCUGAAGGUACACAAACUUUCUGAACCUCAGUUUCCUAUAAUGACAACAUACAUUGUUUCUCGAGCACCAAAUAUGGGCCAGGCAGUGAGCCUGGAACUUUAUAUGCCGCACCCUUCAUCCUCACAGAAACCCAGCCUGUAUCCAUCACUCGGCUUCGACUGUUAUCAACUCAUGGCUGGUUUCAUUUUAAAAGCAGAACCUAAGGCUUAGCAAGGUCAAGUGCAGAGCUUGGCCUUCAUUCCAGAGCCAAGCUCUUUCCCCCGCCUACCUGUGAGGUGGUGAGAGUGACAGGUGUGGAGCAGGGCUAGACGGUGGCUAGUACACACUCACACACAGUGGUGCUUCCUUUGAAGCCAAGGGCCUGGGUGAGAGCCAGGUCAGUCUGAGGGCUAAGAGGGGUCGAAUUGAUUUUAGGCUGGGACUGUUUCCUAUCCCGCAUCCCUUUGUGAAAACAAAGCCCAAGCAAAGAGGAAGGUGAAGGAUGUGAAUCCAUCACCUCCACCUCCCCGCCAAGCCUAAGUGUCCCUGGAGUUUCCCAAGAAAAUGGGGAAGUUUUCAUGCCUGCUUUUCACACAGUCCAGUCUUCUUUUCUUUGGGUUCAAGUUUUUUCUUCCUCAAGUUUUCUAUUUCAACUAUUUGAAAAAGAAAAAGCCUUUUUUGCAGAGGGAGGGCAGGAGGAGAGAAAUCCUCAAACUCCCUGGCCUUCCUCUGGACUGGGCUGUGAACUCACAGAGCAGAGACUGCGGUGCCCCGGGGCAGUGACCUGAUGUGGGUCACGCAGUGAGAAGUGACAGGCCCCAGCCAGCUGUGGCGCCAGAUGUCUUUCCUCCCGUUUUGCAUCCACAUGUGUGUCUGCUCAUACUUUCUUUCUGAUGAUUGUGUUUUCCAAUGACACAGACCUUCUGAGCCCGAGUGUCCCAACAGCAUACAUCAAUAUGGAACAUCAGAGUUGUGUCAGCAGUUUGUUUUGAAAAUAGUUUUCAUUAUAAAUGCAAUAGAUGCUCACAAAAAUAUAGAUGGGG